UGCUCCAUUUUUUCCCCAACU
rnacentral:piRNA from 1 species